CGAAGGUAGCGCAAUCACUUGUCUUUUAAAUGGAGACCUGUAUGAAUGGCAUAACGAGGGCUUAGCUGUCUCCUUUUUCAAGUCAAUGAAAUUGAUUUCCCCGUGCAGAAGCGGGGAUAAAACCAUAAGACGAGAAGACCCUAUGGAGCUUUAGACACCAAAGCAGAUCAUGUUAAGCACCCCUAAAUAAAGGACUAAACCAGAUGACCCCUGCCCUAAUGUCUUUGGUUGGGGCGACCGCGGGGAAACAAAAAACCCCCACGUUGAAUGGGAAUACCCUCUCCUACAGCUACGAGCUCCCGCUCUAGUAAACAGAAUUUCUGACCUUACAGAUCCGGCAACGCCGAUCAACGGACCGAGUUACCCUAGGGAUAACAGCGCAAUCCUCUUUUAGAGCCCAUAUCGACAAGGGGGUUUA
rnacentral:rRNA from 1 species